rnacentral:rRNA from 1 species
GACGAACGCUGGCGGCGUGCUUAACACAUGCAAGUCGAACGGAAAGGCCCCUUUGGGGGUACUCGAGUGGCGAACGGGUGAGUAACACGUGAGUAACCUGCCCUUGACUUCGGGAUAACUUCAGGAAACUGGGGCUAAUACCGGAUAGGAAUCCUUGCUGCAUGGUGGGGGUUGGAAAGCUUCGGCGGUUUUGGAUGGACUCGCGGCUUAUCAGCUUGUUGGUGGGGUAGUGGCUUACCAAGGCUUUGACGGGUAGCCGGCCUGAGAGGGCGACCGGCCACAUUGGGACUGAGAUACGGCCCAGACUCCUACGGGAGGCAGCAGUGGGGAAUAUUGCACAAUGGGCGGAAGCCUGAUGCAGCAACGCCGCGUGCGGGAUGACGGCCUUCGGGUUGUAAACCGCUUUCAGCAGGGCGAAGCUUGUGGUGACGGUACCUGCAGAAGAAGCACCGGCUAACUACGUG